rnacentral:lncRNA from 1 species
GUGGGGCCCGAGGUGGCCGCCGAGGCCCGGUUAGGGACGAACCCGGAGCCGAAAGGCAGGUUUCCAUGAACAAAGUUGCUGGGCCAGCGGCAGGACGGGAGAGCCGAGCGGGAGCGCUGGAGCCGCGCGGGCCGGAGGCCCAGACCUGCUGGGCCUCUUCCUGGGGAGAGCGAACCCCCGGGUGCCCGGACGCGAGCCCCUUUCCAGGGGCAGCGGCGCGCAGCCGAUCGCUCCCGUGCCCCACCCUCUCUCUUCUGCCUCCAGCGCUCCAUUCCAACAAAGGGGCAGGCCCGCGGCAGGGAGGAGGAGGAGAACGAGGAGGAGGAGGAGGAGCCGCCGGAGGAGCGAGCCGCUCUCGCGCACAAAGUUGUGGAGUCGCCUUUCCNUCAGGGGCUUUUCCAAAUCGGGUGUCAUUUUUAAUUUUUUUUUCUCCUUUCGAAUCUUGUCUGAUCCUCCACAUUUCAUUUAAAAAAAUCACCAAACAAAAUAGCUCGCACUACCAAAUUCACCCUCGUGCACAUCCCCCGUUUACUACGACCCAAACCCUCCUAGAGGAGUCCGUGGUCCGCUCCGGACGCGCGGCGGCGGCGGCGGCGGCGGGUAGGCGCGGUGGCCCGCGGGCGAGCAGGUAAGCCCAUGCAUUAUUGAAGUCUGGGACUGGGUAAUAUGACCACAGCCUGCGAGGGAGUGGGGCGGGAGGUGGGAGGAGGUUGGACUUUUCUCCAGCUCUUUUGCCCGGGAUGGGUGUCUCGAGCUCCUCCUAAGUCCCAAAGUCGGAGAUGUAGCCAACUUUGGGGUGCACUUUCCUUGGAACCUCAGUUCGGCUUCCCUGGGAGGGGGAGAGAAUGCCAGAAGCUUGAGGAGCUCGGGCGAGAAGGUCGUUGGAAUCCGGACUAGCUGUGAAGGAUUCAAACCCCUCCGAUCGGCUCGGUGCUGCCGCCUUGUUCCCCCAGUCCUCCCCUCUGCUGCGGGAAGAGGGUCGCGUGUCCGUGCUUCGCGCGGAGAAGGGAGCUGGGCCAGUGAUCUCCAAGAGGACGUGGCCUCCUAGGAGAGCCUGUCACACAUACACACCCCGUCCCCGGGAAGGCGGGGCCCCGGCAGUGUCUGCUAGGAGAGGGUGGAGAGAGUGUGGUUUUGUAGUCAGUGGGCUGGGGAGCACUUCCCAGCCCGCCGCCUGGCAGGGGACGUGCUCGACCUCUGGGUGGUUGCUGCUCCAGAGGGUGGGGCCCCGGAAAGUGUGGCGUUCCCUGCCAGCAGCUCCGGAGAGGUUAAGGGACGGGGGUGCCCUAUUGGUGGCUUGUCCCGCACAGUUGCCUCGCUUUCCGGACUCUUGGCAUCCCUUGCUGCAACUGACAAGGUAAUUCAUUCCCUCUUUGGUCCGGGGUCCGAAGCUCUGGUUGCCCAAGGCCACUUACAAAGCCCACAAAGCUCUAAUUGUAGGCUGUGCAACUUUUGGAAGGCCUGUUGAUAAAAGAUCAAGCCUCAUAUUCCGAAAAGGACUCAUUUCAGGGGGUUUUCAAGGGAGGGAGAAAACGUGUUCGAUCUCCUAGAGCGGGGGGGGGGGCCCGCACUUUUUUUUUUUUCCACAUUGACUUGGAGAGCCUUGGGUGUAACUCCACGGCCCCAAAUCCUGGGGUGUUCCUCUCUCCCAGACAGGGCGGCCUCUUUCCCAGUUUUCAGGUCACCUGGGUCACCAGGGCCUCGCGGGUCAGUGCGCUUGGGAAGGUCAGUGCACCGGUAGCCGCUGCCAGAGCGCACCAGGUUUAAGAUGAGCCGGGUCCAGGCGGCUGCAGUCCCAUACAUUUUUUUUUUUUUUGGAACUUGCAGCGGUCUCUGUCACCUCCGGGCUGGCUGCGCAUGGGAUGGUUGCUGAUGUGCGCUGGGUACGCAGACUGCGGAUAGCGCAGGGUCAGGCGAGAGCUGGAGGAAUGUGAAGCUCUUCGGUACUUAAGGCGUCAAGGGUCAGGGUUUAUGUGGGGCCAUUCACCGGCCCUUUACCCGCAUUUAUGGGACUGAUGAGACAGUUCUUGAACUCUCCUUUGGGUGUUUACCUCAAAUUUAUUGCUCCUGUAAACAGUAUUAAUCACAGUUGUAUUAACCUUCCCUGGAGCGCUUCCGAGUGUGAAUGGCAGUUCUUGGCCCUGAGAGAUUUCUUUUACUAUGCUUCAAGCUGAGCGGCAAACUUGUGUUCCCUUGGCUUCGCUUUUCCACUCUUUCCACUAGGAAUGGUUUUGGUUCCUAGUGUAAAUGAAUAGUUUUUGCCCAAGGAUGUAAAUCGCGUUUCCAUCAUAAUUGCACAUCGUUGAAAAUUCAUUCAUAAUAGCACCUUGUUGAAUGGUGCAUUUUUUUACAUUGUAUAUUUCCAAAUUAAAAAAAAAAUUAGGGGCCUGGGGUUGUGGCUCAGUGGUAGAGCGCUUUCCUAGCAUGUGUAAGGCACUGGGUUCCAUUCUUACAUAUAAAUAAGUAAAUAAAAUAUCUAAUAAAAAUAUAUUUUUUAAAAAACUUAAAACAUUACUUUUGGCUUUAAGGCCAUCCACUGCCUUUUUAAAAACAUUUAAAAAAACUUUUAAAAACAUUUUAUAACUUUAUUUUAUUUUUUUCCUAUUUUGAAUUUGUUUAUUCUAAUAUGUUCUACAUGACAGCAGGAUGCAUUUCAAUUCAUAGUACACAUAUAGAGAACAAUUUUUCAUUUCUCUGGUUGUUCACACAGUAGAGUCACACCAUUUGUGUCUUCAUACAUAUACCUAGGGUAAUGCUGUAAUGCUGUUCAUCUCAUUCCACUAUCUUUUAUUUAUUUUUUAUGAGGUGCUGAGGAUCAAACUCAGUGCCUCAUCUGUGCUAGGCAAGUGCUCUACCACUGAGCUACAGCCCCAAGCCCCAUCUACUGCCUUUUAACUUUAGGUUUAUUGGCACACUGUUGCCUUCUGGUCCAUAUGACAGAAAGAAAUGUUCUGAAGGAAGACUUGGUGAAUGUAGUAGAGUGGAGUGAAUUGGUUUGUGGGAAACCCCUGGCUAAACUUUACAGAAUGUCAUUUCAAGGGAGGGGAAACAUAGGCCAGUGGUAACAAUAAAUUACAAUUGUGUAAGGCUUAAGGCUUCUAGAGCAAUGUCCCACUCAAUCCUUCUCAAUUUCCCUCCUAGCUUUGUGUGGAGAAUGGCAUUAGCUCCCUGAACACACGGGUGGAAGUGGAGGGUCACACUGGGACACAUUGUUUGUGGUGAAAUCUUAAUUUGGUCUCCUGACAGCCAAUUAUGAGUUGCUGCAGCAUUUCGCCAUUUUUUUUUUUUUUUUUUUUUUGCCUCUAUAACUUAAUCUGGAGUCAUUGAGCAUUAGUGGCAACAAGUGACAUUCAGUGACUGUUACUCAAUUAUUAAAUAUCUGCUUUCUCCUUCUUCCCAUUCAUUUCUGGCCCUUGAUCACCUUUUCUGCUGUAUUUUUGCAGCAUAUAAGUAAUUUUUAUUAUUAAGCAAAAAUUUGACAAAUUAGCUUUAGGGUGGCAAUGAGUGGUAUUACUGGUUUUGCACAAAUGAAAUAAAAGUCCCAAGUAAACAAUUUACUUUUUUCUUUUAUGGUGUGGAAAGUCUCUGAGCAGCCUUGACUUGGAGACCCUUGGAUAAGACCAAUUGUGAAAAAGAACAUUAGAUGUAUCUCUCAAAGGGACUAGUUUUACCCAGGAAAGAAAUCUUUCUCAGGAAAACUUGAUUUUCCAUAAUAAAAAUUUUUAUAUAUUCUUCUGAACAAAGUUUUUGGUUCUUGAAUAUACUAAAAUACACUUGAGAAUUUAACAAGUCUUUUACAGUUUUGUACCCGAAGAAAGGAAGUUAACCAUACAAUAAUCCAUACAUUUUUAGUACUGGUAAAGACAUAUAAAAAGUUAAAAAAAAUUUAUAUUCUCAUAAAAAUCUGGCAGAUUGAUGAUCAAUCCACAUAUUCUUCCCUACUAGAGAGAAAAUGGUUCUUAAAGCUUUAACAAUUUACUAGUUUUCAUCUACUUCAACCACUUUAAUACUUAAAAUUUUUUCUAAUGUAAUUUUGCUCUUAUGAAUAGAAUAUACCUUUUUCCUGACUUGAUCAGAAAAAAGUUAUUAUAGAUUAUAUAUGUCACAUAUAACCAAAUAAUACCAUAUGGCAUAGUUCUCCAAUAUUACAUUAUAAAACAAUAUAUAAAAUAUUAAAUAUUAUAUAAUUAUAUAUUUAAAAAUAGUAAUAUGAUGCACUCUGGAAUUAAAUGAUUGCGUUGUCCAGUCCUGGGUAGCAGUAUAUCCUAAUUCUGAUAUGUGUUUUAAUAUGUGGAUUAAUGUACAUUAUCUGCAAAUGAACGUUUGAAUGUGUUGACUGUUAUAGUCUCAAUUAAAUGAUUAUCAGUUGGCAUUGGGAUAUUCUUAAGGGGGUUAUUAUCAGCAUAGAGGCAGAUUGCUGAACUUAAAAUUGAAUUCUGAUUCUUUUUGGAUUGUUGGGGCAGUGUGUCCUGGGAAGUAUUUGGGGCAGUCUAGUACUCUGAUUAUUGGAGUUCUUAGUGAAAUGGCCAUACUACAGGACAGAAUAUUCAGUUCUUUAGAUUUAAAGAUGCUUCUCACUUGGUUAACCAAGAAUUAGGAUUAUUUUAUCUGAGUGGUACCUAUGUGCAUUCAAAUUCAUGUGAUGAACCUUCCAGAAUAAAAUCUAUGUCAAGUGGGCAUACCAUAUAAUGACCUAGAUUUAUAUGUCUAAUCCAGACCAUUUCUGAGCUUCAGAACUGUAUUUCCAACUGCCUUUAGUCAUCUUCUCUUAGGUAUUUUGGAGGCAUCUCAAACUCAGCAAAUCCAAACCACAUUCAUGAUUUUUUCUUCCCACCAGCUGUCCUUCAGUGUUCCCCAGCUCAGUGAAUGACUCACCGGCCACCUAAUUGGCCAUCCAAAAUUGGGGAGUCAUUCUGCACAUUAGUAUCCUCAACUUCUAAAAUCCAAUCAGUUCACAAAUCCUACUGACCUUCUUUAUUUAAUACCCAAAUAUCCCACACAGAAAACUCAUUUUUCUUUCUACCCACUGUUUAUUGCCUAAUGUUUAGGCAAUAAUCCUGCCCAUAUUAUUAUUAUUAUGAUUAUUAUUUUUAGAGGAACUACCUAGAUAUUGAUAAAUAACACAAUGUGGCCAUUGUUUAUUUAUCUAUUUUUUUUUAGAGAGAGAGAGAGAAUUUUUAAUAUUUAUUUUUUAGUUAUCGGCGGACACAACAUCUUUGUUUGUAUGUGGUGCUGAGGAUGGAACCUGGGCCGCACGCAUGCCAGGCGAGCUCACUACUGCUUGAGCCACAUCCCCAGCCCUGCCCAUAAUAUUAUAAUGGAAAGAUUAGCACAAUAAAUAUUCAAGUGCUCUUUAACUAGUUUCCUCAUUUACUUUACAAUGUUUACUUCCUCUCUUUGUGAGUGCGUAUCUAUGCACAUAUACAUCCAAAUACACAUCAGUGUACAUAUUGAUAGAUCAAUGCUGCCCUGAUUGAAAUUAAGUUGAAGGAAAAUAUUGUCAUACUUCAUUGUUAAAUAUUUCAUCACAUAUCUCCUACAAUCAAAGACAUUCUCCUGUAUAACACCACCAUUAAUUAAUGUUGAAGAAAUUUAUUGCCUAAUGUACACUCCAAUUUCAUAUUUUUGAAAUGAUUUCCAAGAUGUUUUGUUUUAAAAUUUUAUGUGCAAUCAAAAAUUGCAUUUGGUUGUUAUAUCUAUUUAGUCUCCUUUAAUCCACAAAGUUCCCCCUUCCUCAGAAAUUUUAGUUUUCUGGAAGUUGACAGUUUUGGAGUGACUAGACCAUAUGUUUGGAAAACCACCCACUGUCUAGAUUUGUCUGCUCAUGACGGUAAAACUUUGGCAAGAAUACCAUAUAGAUGAUGUAUUAUAUUUUCCAUUGCAUGGUAUGAUGUCCUCUUGUUGGUUAAAUCAAGUCUGAUUACUGGUCAAGGUAGGAAUUUUUCCCCAACAUAUUAUCAUAAAAAAUUUCAAAUGUGUAGAAGAGUUGAAAGAAAUUUUUACUCAGCAUCUAUAUAUCCAUGGUGUAGAUUGUUUAAUUAGCAUUUUGCAUAAUCCUGCUAUAGUUUUUGCUGGUUCCCACAUGUCACUGUGGUCCACCUACAAGUCAGAAUGUCUUUAUAAAAGGACAAUCUGGCCAUGCUUAAAACCAUCUACUGGACCUCUAGCUUCUGAAGACUAGGAGCCUUGACCAGAAACCCUGUCUCUGGUCUUGCCUAACCUUCCUCACCUUGUUGCUCAGAUACAUUGCUUCCUGGCUGACUUCUCUCCAAAAGCACUUCACAUGCUCCAUUGGUCUUUGCACUACUUCACAUGGAAAGCUCGUACUUUUUCUAUUUCCCUUCCUGGCUAAUUAAUUUCUUCUUAUCCUUAAAAACUGAGCUCAAGUAUCAUUUCUUCAAGAAAGCCUUCUCAAUUGCCCAGGGCAGGUCGAAUUCCUCUGCCAUAUGCUUCAUUACUCAGUAAUUCUCCUUUGUAUGUUUGUAGACUAUCAGUAUUGUAAAGAAAUAAUUCAUUGUAUAAUUAAUUGCUUAGUAUCUGUAAGUUCCAUAAUAAUGGAAGCUGUGUUUCUUGUUGGUAAUCAAAUCCCCACUGUCUGGAUCUGUGUGUCUUACACAUGGUAGGCCCUCAAUACAUUUUUGCUGAAGGAAUAGUUACUAUAAAUAACUGUAUGUACCUAUGUGUUUAUAUGUAUGUGUAUAUAUAUAUAUAUAUAUAUAUAUAUAUAUAUAUUUGUGUGUGUGUAAGUGGAUAUUUUGGAGCUUGAAGGAUCUUUUGAAAGAUAGCUUCCUAUCCUUUAGUUUAUAUACUUUAAAAUAUGCUUCUAGAAUGUUCUCAUCCCCUAAACUUAUUUUUAAAAAAUGUCUCAGUGGUGGUAUAAAGUACUAUAUAAAUAUAAGGGAUUAUUAAUAUCCUCUUAACAGGAUACAUAUGUUUAUGUGUGUGUGUAUAUCUAUAUCUAUCUGUGUGAACAUAUGUAUGUAUGUGUGUAUAUCUAUAUCUAAGAUAGAUAUAAAUAUACACACAUACAUACAUAUGUACACACACAAACAAAUCAAUGCUUUUUCUUUUCUUUUUAGGCAUUGAUGCCAGGCUGAACCACCAAACAAAGUAGAAAGUCUUAAAAAGGACUUGGGAAAGUCUUUGGAUUGCACUGAAACUCAGCCAGGAUGGCCAAGUAUGGAGAGCACGAAGCCAGGUCCGAUGAUGGGCAGAGUGAGUUCAGUGACAUCAUUAAGUCCAGAUCUGGUAAGUCAUGGAAGCCCAAUAUAAUUCUGGAUUUUUAUGCAG